rnacentral:rRNA from 1 species
CCUACGGGGGGCAGCAGUGAGGAAUAUUGGUCAAUGGCCGGAAGGCUGAACCAGCCAAGCCGCGUGAGGGAGGAAGGCGCAGAGCGUCGCAGACCUCUUUUGCCGGGGGACAAAAGGCCGGACUCGUCCGGUCCUGAGGGUACCCGGAGAAAAAGCAUCGGCUAACUCCGUGCCAGCAGCCGCGGUAAUACGGAGGGCGCGAGCGUUAAUCGGAAUUACUGGGCGUAAAGCGCGCGUAGGCUGUUGUGUAAGUUGGGGGUGAAAUCACACGGCUCAACCGUGGAACAGCCCUUGAUACUGCGCGA